rnacentral:rRNA from 1 species
CCUACGGGCGGCAGCAGUGGGGAAUAUUGCACAAUGGGGGAAACCCUGAUGCAGCGACGCCGCGUGAGCGAAGAAGUAUUUCGGUAUGUAAAGCUCUAUCAGCAGGGAAGAAAAUGACGGUACCUGAGUAAUAAGCUCCGGCUAAAUACGUGCCAGCAGCCGCGGUAAUACGUAUGGAGCAAGCGUUAUCCGGAUUUCCUGGGUGUAAAGGGAGCGCAGGCGGCCUAGCAAGUCUGAUGUGAAAUGCCGGGGCUCAACCCCGGAGCUGCAUUGGAGACUGUGAGGCUGGAGUGUCGGAGAGGCAGGCGGAAUUCCUAGUGUAGCGGGGAAAUGCGUAGAUAUUAGGAGGAACACCAGUGGCGAAGGCGGCCUGCUGGACGAUGACUGACGCUGAGGCUCGAAAGCGUGGGGAGCAAACAGGAUUAGAUACCCCAGUAGUC